rnacentral:rRNA from 1 species
UACGAAGGGGGCUAGCGUUGCUCGGAAUGACUGGGCGUAAAGGGCGCGUAGGCGGUUCGUAUAGUCAGGCGUGAAAUUCCCGGGCUUAACCUGGGGGCUGCGUUUGAUACGUACGGGCUUGAGUUCGGAAGAGGGUCGGUGGAAUUCCCAGUGUAGAGGUGAAAUUCGUAGAUAUUGGGAAGAACACCGGUGGCGAAGGCGGCGACCUGGUCCGAUACUGACGCUGAGGCGCGAAAGCGUGGGGAGCAAACAGG